GCUCCCUUCGGCAGCACAUGUACUCAUGUUGGAACGACACAGAGAAGAUUAGCAGGGCCCGGCGUGAGGACGACACACACGUCCGUGAAGUGUUCCAUACUUUA